UGGGCCCGAGUUUGAUCAUGGCUCAGGACGAACGCUGGCGGCGUGCUUAACACAUGCAAGUCGAGCGGAAAGGCCCCUUCGGGGGUACUCGAGCGGCGAACGGGUGAGUAACACGUGGGUAAUCAACCCCUGACAUCGGGAUACCCCGGGGAAACCCGGAUCAAUACCGGAUAAGGUGCGGAGACGUCGGUCGCCGUACCAAAGGUAGCUUCGGCCUCCGGUCAGGGACGAGCCCGCGGCCCAUUAGCUUGUUGGCGGGGUAAUGGCCCACCAAGGCGACGAUGGGUAGCUGGUCUGAGAGGACGAUCAGCCACACUGGGACUGAGACACGGCCCAGACUCCUACGGGAGGCAGCAGUGGGGAAUCUUGCGCAAUGGGCGGAAGCCUGACGCAGCAACGCCGCGUGCGGGAAGAAGGCCUUCGGGUCGUAAACCGCUUUCAGCGGGGACGAAGCUUCCGGGGUGAACAGCCCACGGGGUGACGGUACCCGCAGAAGAAGCCCCGGCUAACUACGUGCCAGCAGCCGCGGUG
rnacentral:rRNA from 1 species